UCAAUCACAGUGACAGAAAAGGCAACGGCUUCAGUAGGAGAAAGGAUGUUCACUUCCGCUUCUGGCGGAACCUUUAGAGUCCGGUAAAAGAGGCCGAAGAGAAAACUCUCUUCUGUAUCGAAUAGCUGUAGCGGCAUCUGGUAUGAUUUAACUUUGUGCGUGGCUGUUGGGCUUUACUCCUUCUACAAGGGUUUUAAUUUGACCCUGCCCAAACUAAAGAUGGCGGCGUAGGCGUGGAGCCGACCAUAGAGUCUCCAGGCUAGAGAGGCCCAGGCGGGCCGCGGGCGGAAGAGUAGGGCCAGGCCAGUCGGCCUAUGAAGGAAGUUCGUAAUCCGGCCGGUGCUCGGUGCUUCCUGCGCCUGCGUGAAGAUGGUAGAAGAGGGAGUCCGCGUGGUUCGCUGCGGCGGCAGCCGGCUGAACUUCAGGAGGGCCGUGUUCUCCGUGGAUUCCAAGUAUAUCUUCUGUGUCUCGGGAGACUUUGUCAAGGUCUAUAGCACGACCACAGAAGAGUGUGUGCACAUUCUGCAUGGGCACACAGAUCUGGUGUCUGGAAUCCUCGUCAACCCCAGCAACCAUCUGCAGCUCUACUCUUGUUCCUUUGAUGGCACAAUUAAGCUGUGGGACUAUGUUGAUGGCAUUCUGAUAAAGACUUUCACUAUUGGACCUAAACUCCACGCCUUCUUUAUUCCUCUCCACGCGGAAGAUUCCGUCUUCCUUACAAUAAGUAAAGAAGAGCCAGAUAUAUUUCAGCUGGUGUCAGUGAAGCUGCCCAAAUCAACAAGCCAGGACGUGGAAGCUAGACAGCUCACCUUUGUUUUGGAUUACAUAAAUAGGUCCCCCAAGUGCAUUGCCUUUGGAAAUGAGGGAGAAUACGUUGCUGCAGUCCGGGACUUUUACUUAUCUGUUUAUUUUUUCAAAAAGAAAAAAACAUGCAAUUUUACUUUACCAUCAACAAAAAACAAGAAGAAUGCAAAGAACAAGUUCACAUGUGUAGCCUGCCACCCGAAGGAAGAUUGCAUUGCAUCUGGUCACAUGGACGGCAAAAUCCGCCUUUGGAGGAACUUUCACAGUGAUCAGAAGUACACAUACACAUGUUUGCAUUGGCACCACGACAUGGUUAUGGAUUUGGCGUUCACAGUAACAGGCACCAGUCUGCUGAGUGGCGGGCGGGAGUGUGUGCUUGUGGAGUGGCGAGAUGGAUCAGAGAAGAACAAAGAGUUUCUUCCUCGAUUAGGAUCUUCUAUUGAGCACAUCUCUGUCUCACCUGCAGGAGAUUUGUUCUGUACUUCUCACUCUGAUAACAAGAUAACAGUUAUUCACCGAAAUCUUGAUGCAUCGGCAGUAAUUCAAGGCCUAGUUAAAGAUAGGAGUAUAUCUACUGGUUUGAUGGUUGACCCAAGAACCAAAGCUUUAGUUUUGAAUGGAAAGCCUGGUCACCUGCAGUUUUAUUCUCUCCAGGGUGAUAAGCAGUUAUACAAUCUAGAUAUCAUACAGCAAGAGUACAUCAAUGAUGAGGGUCUAACCCAAACUGAACUAACAAAGGCUGCCUUUGGCUGCUCUGGGACUUGGUUGGCAACAGUUGAACAACGCCAAGAAAAUGAAAAUGAGCUGGAGCUGCAAAUGAAACUGUGGAACUAUAGCAAGAAAACCCAAGGGUUUGUUCUUAACACAAAGAUCGCCAUGCCACAUGAUGACCACAUCACAGCUCUCUGUUUCAAUAAUGCAGAAAGCUAUGAAAAACCCAUCCUGGUCACAGCUAGCAGAGAUGGCCACUUCAAAGUGUGGAUAUUAACAGAUGACUCUGACAUAUACAAAAAAGCCAUUGCUUGGACUUGUGACUUUGUGGGUAGUUACCACAAGUAUCAAGCAACCAAUUGUUGUUUCUCUGAAGAUGGUUCCUUACUGGCAGUUAGUUUUGAGGAAAUAGUUACAAUAUGGGACUCACAAACAUGGGAACUAAAAUGUACAUUUUGCCAACGAGCUGGGAAAAUAAGGCACCUUUGCUUUGGAAGACUGACAUGCUCAAAGUAUCUCCUCGGCACUACUGACAAUGGCAUUCUCUGCUGUUGGAAUCUGCUCAGUUGUUCAAGCAAUGUCAGUGUGUAUCUAUUGUUAUUGAAAUCAUAGACCCUUCCAUACAAGCAGAGCGCUGAGCUGUCCCAGGGAAGAUAAAGAACACUUGAUGUAAAGACUUCCUCUUCUCAGCAGUGUGUCGCUCUUCCCACAGUACAGUGGAGUGCAAAGUUGAAUGUUAGAGUUAUGGAACCCGACCCUUACUCAGACCAUGUUGCUGCAGUGGCUCAGUCUUCAGCGGGCUCCGAUCUGUUUGUAUUUAAACCUAGCGAGCCAAGGCCAUUGUAUAUUCAGAAGAAUGUCUCCAGAGAGGAAGUCCAGUGGGGAGUGUUUGUCCCACGAGAUGUCCCAGAAUCAUUCACGUCAGAAACGCACCAGUGGCUGAACAGAUCUCAGUUUUACUUCCUAACGAAGUCACAGAGCUUAUUAACAUUCAGUACAAAGUCUCCAGAAGAGAAACUCACACCAACAAGCAAACAGCUGCUGGCAGAAGAAAGUUUGCCAACGACCCCAUUUUCUUUCAUAUUGGGAAAACACAGGCAACAGCAGGGUGCAAAGUUAACAGAAACUUCAGAGAAUGAACUGGUACAACUCCCCUUAACAGAGAACAUACCUGCAAUUACUGAGCUUCUUCACACCCCAGCCCAUGUCCUGCCAUCAGCUUCUUUCUUGUGCUCUCUGUUUGUAAACUCGCUGCUGCUGUCUAAAGAGACUAAAAGUGCUGAAGAGGUUCCUGAUGAUGUAGAUAUGGAGGGAAACAAAGAAAGUGAUGAUUCAGAUGAAGAGUAUGAUCUUACUGAAAAAGACAAGGAAACAAAUAACAACACGGACUUGGGAGAAGAUGCUAUACAUCAGCUGUCAAAAUCUGAAGAGAAGGAGCUGAGAAAGUUCAGAAAAGUAGAUUAUAGCUGGCUAACUGCUCUGUAGUAGGCCAUGGCUGUGCCAUGACAAAGAGACAUGUUGUACUUAAUGUUUACUGUCUGUUAAUACUCCAAAAAUUUUUAUAAAGUUAUUUUAUUCUUAAGACAAAA